GAUGAACGCUGGCGGCGUGCCUAAUACAUGCAAGUCGAGCGAACGGACGAGGAGCUUGCUUCUCUGAUGUUAGCGGCGGACGGGUGAGUAACACGUAGAUAACCUACCUAUAAGACUGGGAUAACUUCGGGAAACCGGAGCUAAUACCGGAUGAUAUUUUGAACCGCAUGGUUCAAAAGUGAAAGACGGUCUUGCUGUCACUUAUAGAUGGAUCCGCGCUGCAUUAGCUAGUUGGUAAGGUAACGGCUUACCAAGGCAACGAUGCAUAGCCGACCUGAGAGGGUGAUCGGCCACACUGGGACUGAGACACGGUCCAGACUCCUACGGGAGGCAGCAGUAGGGAAUCUUCCGCAAUGGGCGGAAGCCUGACGGAGCAACGCCGCGUGAGUGAUGAAGGUCUUCGGAUCGUAAAACUCUGUUAUUAGGGAAGAACAUAUGUGUAAGUAACUGUGCACAUCUUGACGGUACCUAAUCAGAAAGGCACGGCUAACUACGUG
rnacentral:rRNA from 1 species